rfam:Triticum aestivum genome assembly, contig: Triticum_aestivum_CS42_TGACv1_scaffold_408180_5BL
UAAAUACUCCCUCCGUCCGAAAAUACUUGUCAUCAAAAUGGAUAAAAAGAGAUGUAUCUAAAACUAAAAUACGUCUAGGUACACUUCCUUUUAUCCAUUUUGAUGACAAUGUCUAGAUACAUUUCCUUUUAUCCAUUUUGAUGACAAGUAUUUCCGGACGGAGGGAGUAUUUG